UAAGACGAACCGUGCGAACGUUGUUCGGAAUCACUGGGCUUAAAGGGCGCGUAGGCGGGCCAGCAAGUCAGGGGUGAAAUCCCACGGCUCAACCGUGGAAGUGCCUUUGAUACUGCCGGCCUCGAGGGAGGUAGGGGCGUGCGGAACUUCCGGUGGAGCGGUGAAAUGCGUAGAUAUCGGAAGGAACACCGGUGGCGAAAGCGGCGCGCUGGACCUCUUCUGACGCUGAGGCGCGAAAGCCAGGGGAGCAAACGGGAUUAGAUACCCCGGUAGUCCUGGCCCUAAACGAUGGGUACUAGGUAGUGGACUUACAUGGGUUCACUGCCGAAGCAAAAGUGAUAAGUACCCCGCCUGGGGAGUAUGGUCGCAAGGCUG
rnacentral:rRNA from 1 species